rnacentral:rRNA from 1 species
GAUGAACGCUGGCGGCGUGCCUAAUACAUGCAAGUCGAGCGAACAGACGAGGAGCUUGCUCCUCUUACGUUAGCGGCGGACGGGUGAGUAACACGUGGAUAACCUACCUAUAAGACUGGGAUAACUUCGGGAAACCGUAGCUAAUACCGGACAAUAUAUUGAACCGCAUGGUUCAUUAGUGAAAGACGGUUUUGCUGUCACUUAUAGAUGGAUCCGCGCCGCAUUAGCUAGUUGGUAAGGUAACGGCUUACCAAGGCAACGAUCCGUAGCCGACCUGACAGGGAGAACGGCGACAAUGGUAGUGAGACACGGCCCCGACUCCUACGCGAGGGAGCAGGAGAGAAUCUUCAGCAGAGGGCGAAAGCCUGACAAGGAAAAGCCGCGCGAGUGACGAAAGUAUUCGGAUAAUAAACCCAUGUUCUGCGAGAAGAACACUUGGAUAUAAAUCGAAAACAAGCUGGAGGGUACCCAGUCAGAACGCGACGGCUAACUGAGUG